GUGGGGAAUCUUGCGCAAUGGGCGAAAGCCUGACGCAGCCAUGCCGCGUGAAUGAUGAAGGUCUUAGGAUUGUAAAAUUCUUUCACCGGGGACGAUAAUGACGGUACCCGGAGAAGAAGCUCCGGCUAACUUCGUGCCAGCAGCCGCGGUAAUACGAAGGGGGCUAGCGUUACUCGGAAUUACUGGGCGUAAAGGGCGCGUAGGCGGACAGCUUAGUCAGAGGUGAAAGCCCAGGGCUCAACCUUGGAAUUGCCUUUGAUACUGGCUGUCUUGAGUUUGGGAGAGGUGAGUGGAACUCCGAGUGUAGAGGUGAAAUUCGUAGAUAUUCGGAAGAACACCAGUGGCGAAGGCGACUCACUGGCCCAAUACUGACGCUGAGGCGCGAAAGCGUGGGGAGCAAACAGGAUUAGAAACCCCGGUAGUCC
rnacentral:rRNA from 1 species